rnacentral:misc_RNA from 1 species
UACGUAGGGACCAAGCGUUGUUCGGAUUUACUGGGCGUAAAGGGCGCGUAGGCGGCGUGGUAAGUCACUUGUGAAAUCUCCGAGCUUAACUCGGAACGGUCAAGUGAUACUGCUGUGCUAGAGUACAGAAGGGGCAAUCGGAAUUCUUGGUGUGGCGGUGAAAUGCGUAGAUAUCAAGAGGAACACCUGAGGUGAAGACGGGUUGCUGGGCUGAUACUGACGCUGAGGCGCGAAAGCUAGGGUAGCAAACGGG